rnacentral:lncRNA from 1 species
CAUUGGCAAGUGAAGAUGUGUGGGGAGAGAGGUACACCAUCCAAGUAUAAGGCCUUUGAGCUGCACCUGAAGAAGUCUCCUGCUUAGUACAUCAUGACUUCCAUCGCCUCCUCUGUCAUAUUUGUCACAUCUGUUCGUCAUUGGUUUCCAAUUGUGCUCAUCAUCAUCAUGGGUUUUCUCCCCUCUGCCAUCAAGGAACCCCAGAUUAGGUCUCUGAAAAUCCUUCUGGUUAUUCGUGGUCUCAAGGUUAAGACUCACGACCUGGACCAAUUUUUGGAGGAGACUGCUAUAUUGGCUCCCUGGAUAUCCCCAGAGAACAUGUGGGACCCUGACCUCUGGAUGUGUGUUCUCUUCCUUGCCUAAAAGCACGAGAUAGAGUCUGGAAUUAUCCCUCCAUUAUUCUUUGUCUUCAUCCUCCUUGCAGUCAUCACCAGUCUUAAGAAUUCUUUCGCAGAGGAAGUAGUGGCUGCCCCUAACAAACACUGCCAGAAUCAGUGUCUCACACAGCAUAUCUCCGGGCAGCAUUCCAU